rnacentral:rRNA from 1 species
AUGCACGCUAGCUACAGGCUUAACACAUGCCAGUCGAGGGGAAACGGCAUCGAAAGCUUGCUUUUGAUGGGCGUCGACCGGCGCACGGGUGAGUAACGCGUAUCCAACCUGCCCAUCACUUGGGAAUAACCUUGCGAAAGUAAGACUAGUGCCCAAUGACAUCCCACGAAGGCAUCCGAAUGGGAUUAAAGAUUUAUCGGUGAUGGAUGGGGAUGCGUCUGAUUAGCUUGUUGGCGGGGUGACGGCCCACCAAGGCAACGAUCAGUAGGGGUUCUGAGAGGAAGGUCCCCCACAUUGGAACUGAGACACGGUCCAAACUCCUACGGGAGGCAGCAGUGAGGAAUAUUGGUCAAUGGGCGAGAGCCUGAACCAGCCAAGUAGCGUGCAGGAUGACGGCCCUAUGGGUUGUAAACUGCUUUUAUAAGGGAAUAAAGUGGGUCACGUGUGACUUUUUGCAUGUACCUUAUGAAUAAGGACCGGCUAAUUCCGUG